rnacentral:lncRNA from 1 species
CAAACAAAGUGUACCACUUAGAGGGGCCAGUUACAUUAGACUUCAUUGUUGUCAUAUCGUUUUCUUCACUGCAUUGCAGGCAUUAGUUUAAUGGUGCCAGGAAAAGCAUUACGGUAAACGGAACCUGAAAGGAACUGCCAAAGAAAGACAGUCUUAUGGGAAUACGCUUCAACAGAGAUGCUGUUCUAAACCCAGACAGACCCAGACUGAGACACAUUCCCCUCCUAUGAUGGAGAUAUCCCACAGGUCUGUACAACUCCCUGCCUGGACCUUAGUGCCUGCCUGCACACCCACACACACCCACACACAGCACUUCCAGACCCCUAACCAUGCACCCAAAGGGGACAAUUGUGACUCAGUGCGACUCACGCAUAGGUCUAGUAAGAGGUGCAAAUAAACACACACACACACACACACUCAUACACAGCUAUGUCUUAUACUUGUG